rnacentral:rRNA from 1 species
AGUGAACGCUGGCGGUAGGCCUAACACAUGCAAGUCGAACGGCAGCACAGUAAGAGCUUGCUCUUACGGGUGGCGAGUGGCGGACGGGUGAGGAAUACAACGUACUCUACUUUUUCGGGGGGGAUAACGUAGGGAAACUUACGCUAAUACCGCAUACGACCUACGGGUGAAGGCAGGGGAUCUUCGGACCUUGCGCGAUUGAAUGAGCCGAUGUCGGAUUAGCUAGUUGGCGGGGUAAAGGCCCACCCAGGCGACGAUCCGUAGCUGGUCUGAGAGGAUGAUCAGCCACACUGGAACUGAGACACGGUCCAGACUCCUAAGGGAGGGAGCAGUGGGGAAUAUUGGACAAAGGGCGCAAGCCUGAUCCAGUCAUACCGCGUGGGUGAAGAAGGCCUUGGGGUUGGAAAGCCCUUUUGUGGGUAAAGAAAAGCAGCAGGUUAAUACCCCGCUGUUCUGACGGUACCGAAAGAAUAAGCACCGGCUAACUUCGUG